ACACGGGGGGCGCAAGCGGUAUUCGGAAUUAUGGGGCGUAAAGGGCGUGUAGGCGGUUUUAUCGGUCAGAUGUGAAAGCCCAGGGCUCAACCCUGGACGUGCAUUUGAAACAGUAAGACUUGAGUACGGUAGAGGAAAGCGGAAUUCCUGGUGUAGAGGUGAAAUUCGUAGAUAUCAGGAGGAACACCGAUGGCGAAGGCAGCUUUCUGGACCGAAACUGACGCUGAUGCGCGAAGGCGUGGGUAGCGAACAGGAUUAGAUACCCUAGUAGUCC
rnacentral:rRNA from 1 species